GGCAAUGAGAAGCAAGCCUUGAAUGUGUGCAGUGCAGGAGCCUGGCUCCGGGGGCUCCGCAGAUGAAAUAAUUUCAAAAUGCAUCACACCUCCAAAAAUACUCCAGAAGAUGGCCGAGGCAGAUUCCUACCAAGAGCAGAUUAGCAGAGGGAACCUGGAGAAUCUUUGCAUAUGGCACUGUGCAGAGACAGUCAGGAGGAUUGUCUUGAACAUCAUGAGCAAAUAUCAAGAGAUCUGAAAUAUCAAGAGGCCACUUGGGCAAUACUGUGUUCAUGUCUGUAAGAAUGGUGGGACGGAAGGAGGAAACCGGGGAAAAAGUAAGUAUUCUGCUGUUAUCCUACUGGUCUAUAUUUA
rnacentral:lncRNA from 1 species